AUGGCUAUAAAAAGUCUAGUGUACUUGGUGGCUUUAUUGUUACUUCUACUUAAUUAUGGAACGAGAGUUACUCAAUCACUAAAAGCAGAAGAACGUGAUUUGGAUAAACAACAUCAACUUUUGAGGAAGCUGAGCAUUAAAUCAAUCGAGACUAAACAUGGAGGCAUAUAUGACUGUGUGGACUUUUAUGAACAACCUGCUUUUGAUCAUCCACUAUUGAAAAAUCAUACUUUUCAUCCUCAGGUUCGUGUUAGUCUCUCUUCCAUCAUCAAUCUAAUCGGUCAGAUGAAACCUAGUUAUAGUCAAGAACGUAUAAAACGUACAACAUCCAAUAAUUUAAAAUGUCGUCUUCAAAAGCUAGAAGUUGGGGGAUGUCCAACUGGAACAGUGCCUAUUAGAAGAGCUAACAAGGAUGAUUGGAUCCAGAUGAAGAAUUUCACAAAAGAUUAUUUAUUGAGGUCGAAUCCAAACUCUAUACCACUCCAACCUGGACAGCAUGUAAGUUUCUCUUUUUUUUCUUUUUUUCUUUUUUUCUUUUUUUUUUGUCCCUAUAGCCUAUAUAUACUAAGUUGUAAACAUUUAGGGGGCGUUUGGUUUCAACAUGGUAAAGGGAAUGGAAUCAAGAAAGGGUUUGCCAUUCUUCAAACUAAUUCUGAUCCGAGUACUACAAAAUAUUAUGGGGCUACUGGCAUAUUCAAUGACUAUCAUUUAUCUGUUGGAGCAUCUCAGUACUCAUCUGGAGAAAUGAUAUUUCAGAAUGGAAAUGACAUGAUAAAAGUUGGUUGGACAGUUGGACAAUAUCAAUGUUUCAAUACAUUAUGUCCUGGGUUUGUCAACAUCAAUAAAGAUAUACCAAUAGAUACUCAAAUUAUCGGUGGCUCCAAAAGAGGAGGGCAACAAAGAGGCAUAAGUUUAUUCGUUUACCAGGAUGUUGAGAACAAGAAUUGGUGGCUUGACCUAUGUGGUACGACCAUUGGAUUUUGGCCCCACCAAUUAUUCACGGCAAUGCAAGAUGCAGCUACUUAUGUUGCAGUUGGUGGGGAAGCAUAUGGCCCACCUGAUCAACCUCUUCCACCCAUGGGAAAUGGUUACUACCCCUCUGAGGAGUUAGUACUAACUGCAUAUUGUCGUAACUUUACAGUUUUGGAUGCAAAUCAUCAGUAUAUUAAUCCUCAGCAAACUGAAAGAUUUGCACCUGAAUGGCAUUAUGGUAUCUAUGAUAUGGGAAUAUUUAAAGACAAAGGACGAACAAUAUGCUUCGGUGGAACUACUAUAUAA